UAUGCUAGAAAUAACAGCCAAAUCUCACAAAACUGUGAUAACAUAAUGAAAGAAAUAUGUAAUCAAUCUACUCACUUUUCUGCAAAGAUUUCUUUCAGAGUAAUAUCCCACAGUAAUAUGACAAAGUGAAAUGAAAGUGUUAAUUUUUUUUUUACAACUGUUGGAAUUUACAAAACCUCAAUCCA